UACGGGGGGUCCUAGCGUUGUUCGGAAUCAUUGGGCGUAAAGCGUGUGCAGGUGGUUUGGCAAGUUAGAUGUGAAAUCCUUGGGCUUAACCCAAGAAGUGCAUUUAAAACUCCCAAACUUGAGUAAGGAAGAGGGUCGUGGAAUUCCAGGUGUAGUGGUGAAAUACGUAGAUAUCUGGAGGAACACCGGCGGCGAAGGCGGCGACCUGGUCCUAUACUGACACUCAUACACGAAAGCGUGGGGAUCAAACAGG
rnacentral:rRNA from 1 species